GCAGACAGGCAGGUCUGUGCACGCCCUACCGAGGUCCUGAGUCACACAGAAGACACCGAAUCACCUCACUGCAGACAGGCAGGUCUGCCCACACCCUGCCAAGGUCCCCAGUCGCGCGGAACACACGCCGAAUCAGCCUGCUGCAGACAGGCAGGUCUGUGCACGCCCUACCGAGGUCCUGAGUCACGUGGAAGACGCCGAAUCACCCCACUGCAGACAGGCAGGUCUGCCCACACCCUACUGAGGUCCCCAGUCCCGCAGAACACGCCGAAUCACCCCGCUACAGACAGGCAGGUCUGCCCACACCCUGCCAAGGUCCCCAGUCGCGCGGAACACACGCCGAAUCAGCCCGCUGCAGACAGGCAGGUCUGUGCACGCCCUACCGAGGUCCUGAGUCACGCAGAAGACGUCGAAUCACCCGGCUGCAGACAGGCAGGUCUGCCCACACCCUGCCGAGGUCCCCAGUCGCGCGGAACACACGCCGAAUCAGCCCACUGCAGACAGGCAGCCACCUGAUUCCCCAUUACCAAGGCGCAGAGGACACCAGACCACCAGACCAAGGGCCAGAACUUGAUGAAGCAAGAGAGGAACUGAAGUUGAAAAGUUAAGGAGGUGCUUGCGCUCAGGAUGUCCAUACAAAACUUUUCCACUGCCAUCCAACUCCUGUGAAGAUCUGGAAAGUAAAGUGUCAUAGCACAGUGCUGGAAUGCCACCACAUGAGCAGCUUUCCUCCACCCUGGUCCUUCCACCCUGCCAUUGCUGCCUUGGAACCAGAUGACCAGAGACUGUAACUAUGAGCCAAAAUAAACCUCUUCCCCUUUAAGUUGUCAGCAUUGAGUAUUUGUCCCAGC
rnacentral:lncRNA from 1 species